rnacentral:lncRNA from 1 species
AAUCCAGCUUUCUCCCAGAUUUGAUUCAAGAAAACUAAUAAAACUCAGCUUCAGCCCGCAAAUACCAGCAUCUUAGAAGAAUACAAAAUUGACUAUACAAAACUGAAUCAAUUUCUGUCAAAUUUGCUCCACGAAUUCUCCAAGAAGUCAACUAACCACCAAACCAAGUUUCACAGCAAUCCAACUCUCCUACGUCACACAUGAGCCAAAACGCCGAAAGUCGCUGUUAGAAUUCUGCUGAAACUGCAGUCUUUGAAGUAGAAAGUAAGCAAAUUGUGGAAUUUGGAGUUAUUUGAAGGGCUAAGAUGCAAAAUAUAGCUUCUCUGUAAAGAAGGGAAGAAAAGGCUUCUCAGGAGUCGAAUAACAUCUAUUUAUAGUGAGUUGAGAGGAUAAGAUAAGCCCCAAGAACAAACACUGCAAGCCUGCUGCCCCUGUAGAAACGCACAGUUUCGGGCGCCCGAAAUCAUGUUUUGGGUGUCCGAAACCUCCAGGCUUCACAAUUGUUCCUCAUCGGUUCCUCUGCCCGCGGUGUGCUGCGCCCAAAACCUGGUUCGGUGGAUCUCACCUACCACCAGCCACGUGUCAGCUCAAAUGAUAUUCACGAGGUGAACUUUCGGACCCACAACCGGGCGCCUGAAACCAGAAUCCAAAUUGGCUUCCAGAUUUGCUCAAACCAGCACUCAAGUUCUGGGCGACCUAAGUCCAGUUCUGGGCGCCCAAAACCUGCAAAACUCAAGUUUUGCUCCUUUGAGUGCGCCAAGUCCAUUUCUGUGUCCAUUUUGUACAAAAACGACUCCAACUCAGUCCGACACUCAUCAGAUAUGUCAACCAGUCACUACUACUGUAGCCAAUCCUAUCCAAACCACUGAAACACUACAUCCUCCCCUACUACAAAAAGUUUUGUCCUCGAAACUUAAAUUCAUACCUCAAUCCGGAGCAUCAAACAAGUAGAGGUAGGAUUCCCUCAUUACUGUCUCAGGUUCCAAGUCGCCUCUUGCUCUUCGUAAUGACUCCACUGCACUUUUUCAUAAGGAAUGACCCGGUUGAGCAAUUUUUUUGAUUCACGAGCCAGAAUUCGCACCGGACGUUCCUCAUAUCUCAAGUCCUCGCGAAGCUCCAGCGGAGUGAAGUCGAUCACGUGGGAAGGAUCAAAUACAUAUUUCCUCAAUACUGAGACGUGGAAAAUAUCAUGGAUACCGGCCAGUCGUGGGGAUAGAGCAAUCCUGUAUGCAACUGGUCCAACUCGUUCCAAUACCUCAAAAGGGCCUACAAAGUGUGGACUGAGCUUUCCACGCACUCCAAAUCUGCAUAUCCCUCUGGACGAUGAGACUUUCAGAAACACAUGCUCUCCAACCUGGAACUCUAUGUCUCGUCUCCUGGUAUCGGCGUAGCUCCUCUGGCAGCUCUAGGCUGUCAAAAGGUGUCGUCGCACAGUGAUGCAUCCACAUCAUUCCAAAAUAAAAGGGAUCGACAUCUGCGUCCAUAUAAUGCUUCAAACGGAGCCAUCUAAAUGCUCGUUGAUAGCCGUUGUUGUACGCAAACUCAGCAAGUCUCAAAUGUCGAUGCCACCCUCCUCCAAGGUCCAGGACACAUGCUCUCAGUAUAUCCUCCAGAGUCUGAAUGGUCCGCUCUGACUGACCAUCCAUUUGUGGGUGAAACGCCGUGCUGAAAUGCAACUGUGAACCCAACGCAGUCUGAAAACUCCCCCAAAAGUGCGAAACAAAUCUCGGAUCUCUGUCUGAUACACUCGAAAUCGGCACACCAUACAGUCUAACCAUCUCAUUCAGAUAUAGCUGCGCGAGUCUCUCCCUGGACCAGGUGGUCUGUACUAGUAGGAAGUGAGCAGACUUAGUCAGCCUGUCUACUAUAACCCAAAUAGCAUCGAAACUAUCCUGUGCUCUAGGCAACUCCACUACGAAGUCCAUCGUAAUCUGCUCCCAUUUUCACUGGGGCACUGGCAGACUCUGAAACUUGUCAGCAGGUACCUGAUGCAUUGCCUUUGUCUGUUGGCAAGUAAAACAUCGAGCUACAAAUCUGCCAAUGUCUUUUUUCAUUCCAUUCCACAAGAACUGUACCUUUAAAUCCUUAUACAUCUUGGUUCCACCAGGGUGAAUCGUAUAAGGUGAACAAUGAGCCCCUCUCAAAAUAUCCUCUCGGAUUUCUGAAUCCAUAGACACACACAGUCGAUCCCUGUACUGCAGUACUUCCGAACUGUCCACAACAAAGCCUUCUGCCUGUCCCCUCUCUAACUGCUCUUGAAUUCUCAACAAGUGAGAAUCUCCACUUUAUUUCUCCCGGAUCCUGUCAAACAGAGUGGGCUGCAAGACCAAAAACAUUAGUCUUGCAAUGGACCCAGGGGACACAACCUCUAGUCUUAACCGCUGUAGCUCCUCGAGUAACGGCCUCCGCUAAGUAAUCAACAUGCUCAAGCUUGCACAGACUUCUUGCUCAACGCAUCUGCCACCACAUUUGCCUUGCCGGGAUGAUAUUGAAUACUAAUAUCAGUCCUUCAAUAACUCCAACCACCGGCGUUGCCUCAGAUUCAAUUUUCUUUCGGUGAACAGAUACUUGAGACUCUUGUGAUCAGUAAACACCUCGCAGUGCUCGCCAUACAAGUAAUACCACCACAACUUCAAAGCAAAAACAACUGCAACAAGCUCCAAGUCAUGCGUAGGGUAAUUCUUCUCGUAAUCCAUCAAUUGCCGUGAAGUAUAAGUAAUUACCCUACCAUGCUGCAUAAACACACAACCCAAACCAUUGUGCGAUGCAUCACUGUAGAUCGCAAAUCCUUCCCCCAUCCCUAGAAGGGCAAGGAUAGGAGUCGACAUCAACCUCUGUCUCAACUCAUCGAAGCUCCUCUGACAAUCCUCACUCCAGAUGAACUUAAUUUCUUUACGAGUCAAUCGAGUGAGGGGUGUGGAAAGCUUCGCAAAGUCUUCCACAAGCCGACGGUAAUAUCCAGCAAGUCCAAGGAACUCCUCACCUCCGUCACCGUCAUCUGUCUGGGCCAAUCCCGAAUAGCAUUAAUCUUCUUCGGGUCCACUACUACUCCAUCUGCAGAAAUCACAUGGCCCAAGAAAGCAACUUCCCGUAACCAGAGCUCGCACUUCUUUAACUUGACAUACAACUUUUUUUCUCGCAGAAGUUGUAGCACAAUCCUCAAGUGCUCCUAAAGCUCAGUAUUACUCCGGGAGUAAAUCAAGGUAUCAUCAAUGAAGACUACCGCAAAUCUAUCCAAGAACGGCUUGAACACUCUGUUCUUUAAAUCCAUAAAUACGGCAGAGGCAUUUGACAAUCCAAAAGGGAUCACGAUAAACUCAUAAUGCCGGUACAGAGUCCGAAAAGCCGUCUUGAAAACAUCCUCGGCCCUCACCCUCAACUGGUGGUAACCUGACUGAAGAUCAAUCUUCGAGAAGGCACAAGAUCCUUGGAGCUGAACAAAUAAAUCAUUGAUGCGCGGCAAAAGAUUAUUGUUCUUGAUGGUCACUUUAUUCAGUCCCGAUAAUCCACACACAACCUAAGUGAACCAUCCAUCUUCUUUACAAAUAACACCGGUGCUCUCCAAGGCGAUACAUUGCAUCUCACAUACCCUUUCUCCAUCUGAUACUAAAGCUGCGCCUUUAGCUCUCUCAGCUCUGCCGAUGCCACCCGGUAAGGUGCCUUCGAGAUUGGUGCAGUUUCAAAAACUACAUCAAUCACAAACUCGAUCUCCCUCUCCAGCAGCAUUGUCGUCAACUCCUGGGGAACAUGAGUCCGAAACUCGCGGACUAAAGGGAUGUCCUCGAGUCCCGGCGCCGCCGUUGGUACCUACACAACCGUCACCAGAAAAGCAACACAUCCUCUAUUCAUCAGCUAUCAAGCCCGCGCUUCACAAUCAAUAGUAGCAUAAUACCGCGCUAGCCAAUUCAUGCCGAGCACAACGUCAAAGUCCUGAGCUGCCCCAAAAAUAACAGGUCUACGGACAUGAUCCACGAAUCUAACUAUACCGGACACGACCAACAACACUCUGCAACCUGUAACACAUGGUCGGGAAUCUGCACCUCUCGUGCAUGUAACAACGGCCCUACCUCUAGACUAUGAAAUGAUGCAAAUGCUUGACUAACAAAAGAAUGGAAUAUAUAGGUAUCAACUAAUGCAUGAACUUAAAUACCAUAAUCAAAAUGAUACCUGCUACUAUACGAUCUGCGGGCGUGGAAUCCUCAACUUUAGCCUCAGACGCGUUGCCCCUAGAUUCCUGCUGUCACUGCCCCCUCUGCAUCGGCACUGCAAUUCCAUAAGGCUGUUAAGGUAUCGGCGGGGUUGGCGCUGUCAACAGUGCUGGCAAUGCUGCGCGAGGACAGGCUGCCCGUAGAUGCCCUGGCUGACCACAUCUAAAACACCGGCCCUCUUUUUAUGCACAAGAUUGCGGCCAAUGCGGUCCUCCACAAAUCACACACUGCGAAGUCCUCUGCGACUGACCUUGCUGACGAAAUCCUCUGGUACGCUGACGCCCCGAAGACUCACGACACUGAGCGUGUGAUCGUGGAAGCCUCGGCGGACGCCUGCUGCUCGACUGCCCUCCAUCAUCUGGAACUGGGCGCUUCCUAUCCUACUUCUACCUUGGCGCUGUUUCUCGCCCCUGGAUUGUCAUAGCUCUUUGCUCCACCCUGAAUGCCUGCUGCACGGAUGCUCUGGGGUCAACACCCGAUCCUAGCGCAACAGUCUCGCACAUCCUCUGCAAUUGUACACUUUGCUGCCAUAUCACCUCAGUCAAGGCAGCAACCCGCUCUCUCAGAUCCGGGAGUGCACUGGGCCCUACCGGCUCAGGCAUCUCAGGUGGUGUGGCACAAUCCCGCGGCGACGGUCGACCUCGGCGUCGAUACAUAGCUGCAGGAAAACAGAAUAAGGGUCAGAUACAAAACACAAACACUCUCGACCCAAUCAAGCGAAAGUCUAGAAGGCGGCCCCUAUUUCUCCACAAAAUUAUGUCGUCUGUAGCGAACAUAAUUUUUCUAGGUCGAAACAGGCACUCCUUCAAUCACUCACUCCACUCUAGGAGGAGUUAGAACUAAUCAAUCACUGACUUUCGCGAUAAAUCACGCCUCUCGCGUCUUGUCUUCCUAAGAUUUGCCAAACCUAAGGUUCCUAGGUCCCAACGACCUAAUGCUAAAUUCUGAUACUAACUUAAUCUGUCAAGCCCCGGAUUACUCGUUCCCCGGGCACGCCGACAAAUCCGCCGUAUACAAAGGACUUUUUCUGUAUACGAAGCGAUAGCUGUACCUAUACCUGUAUUCAUACAACACUACAACUAGUAGUAUAGAGCUGCUAAAGAGAAAAGCAUAUAUAAUAACAGAGGUUUAUCAUACAUAUGUCGCAUCCAGAUAUACAAAACGCUCGUUUCAGUGAGAUACAACAUCAGUAUGUGUAAUAACCCAAAAACUAUAACUACCUGUAGCUGGUAUACUCUAGAUCAGCAGCAACUGGGAAGGGAUCUAAAUCGCGACUCCCUUUUCACGAUCCGAAACAGCAGCAGCAACAGCCGAAGAAGAAGGCUCUGCAAAAGAUUCCAACAAUUAGGCGUGAGAACUACUGCAAAAAGGAGCAGUCCUCAGUAGGUACCGCUACCGACCUCUACGGCUUACCCACUAAGUCUACAGAUGAUAUGCUCAAUGAUAGUAAAGAACUGGAAAUACUCUACAGCUACAUGCUACUAUACUAUUAGGAAUCAACACUAACUAUCUGUAGAACAAUGCCAUCUCUGACCCAAUCUCACUAGGGACUGUAAGCAUGCCCGUCCCAAGGACUGUGAGCACACCCGUCCCCACCUAUCGAAGCUAUACAGCUACGUCCACGCUAAGCAGUCCAUGGAGAGCAAGUUCAACCAGCACGAACCGACAUCAACGCAAACGCACAAAGCCCGAUUCCGAAGUGGCACUCGUGGGCGCUACCCAACCGAGUAUGCAAGCGUAUCUCUGCCGAGCUCAAUCAGGCUCUCACAGGCUAUAGUCAAGUAAACAUGGUCUAACUAGUCUAACAAUCAAACUCACGUGCUCUCGGCACAAUGUGAUGCAAAAACAGCAAUCUGGAUCCACCGUCAACCUCAACGGUACCCGACAGUUCAAAACAGCCUAACCACUGCUGUAAAAAUAAGCUUGACAUUCCAGCACGAGCGUAAAUACAUUCUACACUAUCCUGGGUAUCCCCGUCGACAAACUGCGGCGAUACAAAUAAACUACAGCUCCUAAGCUAUCCGCGUAUCAAAUGCUCACUAACAGCGUGGAUACGAAUCGCAACAGCUUCAGAAAUUAUUCGAGUAUCAAAUGCGCACUAACAGCGUGGAUACGAAACGCAAUAGUUUAAGAAGCUAUCUGAGUAUCAAAUGCGCACUAACAGCGUGGAUACGAAAUGCAACAGCUUCAGGAGCUAUCUGGUAUUUUUAGACAUGACAGUGUAGAACCUAUAGUUGAAGAUUACUCGAGCUCGGCAUCCUAGUACGAGCGUAAAUGCAUUCUACACUAAUAUGGAUAUUUACCGCCCACCAACUACGGCGAUACCAACAAACUACGGCUCCUAGAGCUAAAUCUAGUAGUUUCAGCAUAUGACGGUGUAGAAUCGCUAGUUUUCUCAUAAGUCAAUUCCAAGUCCAAUAUGUAGAUUUAACUAAUAUUUUAAGCUCCAAACUCCGAUUUCAUAAGUAUGCAAAUCACUAGUUCGAGCUAAUUACAAGAUAUACAAAAAAACUAAAUAUACAUGCUGUCAACUACUAAACUUAGAAGGAGAUCCGAAAAUUUCGGUAAGCAUCAUUAACCCACCUCUAGCGUAAUAUCCGACACAGCUAGAAGUCGCGAAGCCGUUGGGAAACACAGCCGAAACCACCCCUGGACCAGCAACCAACCAGCAAUAAGCUCUCAGCGAGUCUACACACAAAAAUCACCAAAACUCCAUCGAAAUCCACAAUUUUUCAGCAUUUGAGCUUAAAUUCACAAAACCUCAAUGCCAAAUUCACCUUCCAAAGCUCAAUUCAGGUGAAGAAAGGUCCCAACAGUAGUGAAGUAUGAUGGAGUACUAUCUUCAGGUCCGAAAUCCAGCUUUCUCCCAGGUUUGAUUCAAGAAAACCAAUAAAACUCAGCUUCAGCUCGUAAAUACCAGCAUCUCAGAAGAACACGAAAUUGACUAUACAAACCUCAAUGAAUUUCUGUCAAAUUUGCUCCACGAAUUCUCCAAGAAGUCAACUAAUCACCAAACUAAGUUUUACAGUAAUUCGACCCUCCUACGUCACACACGAGCCGAAACGCCGAAGGUCGCUGCUGGAAUUCUGCUGAAACUGCCGUCUUUGAAGUGGAAAGUAAGCAAAUUGUGGAAUUUGGAGUGAUUUGAGGGGCUAAGAUGCAAAAUAUAGCUUCUCUGUGAAGAAGGGAAGAAAAGGCUUCUCAGGAGUUGAAUACCUUCUAUUUAUAGUGAGGAGAGAGGAUAAAAUAAGCCUCAAGAACAAACACUGCAAACCUAUUGCCCCUGCAGAAACGCACAGUUUCGGGCGUCUAAAACCAUGUUCUGGGCGUCCGAAACCUCCAGGCUGCACAAUUGCUCCUCAUCGGUUCCUCUGCCCGUAGUGUGCUGCGCCCGAAACCUGGUCCGGCGGAUCUCACCUACCACCAGCCACGUGUCAGUUCAAAUGAUAUUCACGAGAUGAACUUUUGGACCCACAACCGGGCGCCCGAAAUCCGGAUCCGAAUUGGCUUCCAGAUCUGCUCAAACCAGCACUCAAGUUCUGGGUGCCCAAAACCAGCAAAACUCUAGUUUUGCUCCUUUGAGUGCGCCAAGUCUAUUUCUGCGUCCAUUUCGUGUAGAAAUGACUCCGACUCAAUCCGACACUACCAGAUGUGUCGACCAAUCACUAAUACUGUAGCAAAUUCUAUCCAAACCUUUAGAACACUACAAUAUAAUAGAGGUAAAAAUAUUAAAAAUUAAUUAGGAUAAAGUAUUUAACAUAUAGUUAACUAAACUUUUUUAAUGGAUUCUAACGUCAGGAAUAAAAUUUAGAAAAAAUAUAUUUAUAAUUUUUUAUGUUUGUGGGGAUGUGUAAUGUAAUAAUUAAUCCUUGUAUAAUGUUUCGAAUAGCAGUUCUUGCCGCAGCUACGGGUGGAAACGAGCCGAGCUCGAGCGAGCUUAUGUCAGCUCAAAUUCGGCUUGAAAUUAAUUUCGAGCCUAAAUCUAGGCUCAAGCUCGGCUUGAAAUUAAUUCGAGUCGAGCUCGAGCGAGCCUAAUUUUGAGUCGAGCCGAGCUCGAGCUCUAAACGAGCCGAUUGAAAUUCUCGACAUUAUAUAAUCAAUAGUUUAAUUUUUAUAGAACAUUACCUGCAAUUUGAUGCAACAUGUCCAAUAGUUCAAAAUACAAAAUAAUUGCAAAAAAUGUGAGCUAGGGUGACUGCCUGACCGGGUGAGGGUCAGAGAGAGAGAGAAAGAGAGGGAAAAAAAUUAGGAAUUUGAGAAUUUGAAUGUUAUCAUGUUUUAAGGUUAUGUGCAACAGUGAAAGUCUAAAAGAGAGAGUGUGUUAUGUAAAUUUAGAGUUGGGCGAAAUUGUACCGUGUACUUGUUGGGUUUAUUUUAUGGGCGAAAAAUAAUGGUCAAAUUAAAUUAAAACCUAUAUAUAAUUAAAAUAUAUUUUUUAUAUAUUAUAUAUAUAUUGAGCUUUUUGAGCCUAAUUCGAACGCAGCUGAGUAAUACUCAAGCUCGCUUGAAAAAAUUUGAAGCGUACUUGAGCGAGCCAAUAAUUGAUUCAACACGAGCCGGCUCGCUCGUUUGCCAGCCCUAGCCGCAGCACAUACGGUACGGUGCUGUGUUGGGUUUUGAAUCACACUUUUUUUUAAAAAAAAAAAAUAGUAGUAAUAAUAAUAAUAAAAAUUUUCUCAUCACUGUCGAUCCCUGCCUCGGUUGCUCUCUCUCUCGGAUCUCUCGAGCAGAAAAAGAAGAAGAAGAAGAAGCAACAGCAGCAACAGCGUGUGCGGCGGCGAGCUGCAAGGUGACUGAGAACGAGCCACCUGCCCCGCCUCCCUUUCUCUCUGCGCUGACUGAGGCAGAGCCGCCGCCUAUCCCAUCUCUCUCUCUCUGGUGUUGAUAAGAUGUGUUAAUGGAAAAUUUAAACGUUUUUAAUACCUAUAAAUAAAUAUCAUUUAAUAUUUUAACAGCUGGACUGCAUAUACGCCCGCAUAUGCGCUAUGCGGUGGAUAAUAUGGACACUACACACCGCCUUUUGGAAUAUGGGGUCUUUGUGUUAGAUAAGUUGAAUCGCUUCUUCGAGACUAAACUUUCACUUCGAGACAUAGUAAGCUUUUGAAUAUUUUGUGCUUGUGAUGAUGUAUGAAAAUAAUAUUUUGUUUCUUACUUGAGGUUCCGCUGAUUAAUUGAUACUUAGCUUUUGAUUGAAACGAUCAGUUUGAUCAAUUACUUUUUGAAGGUAAGUGACUAGACACUCUUUAGUUUAUUUUUAGUAAAAAUAUGGAAAUAGGUUACGACAACAAAAUAAUUACUUUCUGUAUAAUUUUCUGAAAAGUACGGAUCAGGCGUACUUACACAGAUUACGAAGAAUUAGAAGAAAAGGCUUUUCUCAAGGUUUUGCUCUCAAUGUUGUAUAAUUUUAGAAAGAUAAGUACUUAGGAAAUUUAUGCUUAUUUGGGAAAAUUUAUUUAUUUUUUUUCAAAUUAUUGACUUGCUAAAUAACCUCAAAGUUGUGAUGUCUCUUAGUUUUCUACUUUAAUUGUGUUGGCUAUGUUGACAAAAUUAUAAGCUAGAUUCGAUUGUGUAAUACACCUCCGAGUGCUACUUUGAUGCGCCCUCAGGUGCUAAUUAAGUCAUCAUAUCUUGAAGCGGGCGCAAACAAAAGAUCAAUUGUAUGGAGUUUCUACUACUCUCGCGUAUGUAAUCAAAAGUGAGUGGACGGUUAGGAACACCAAGGUACACAAAGGAUUAGUAAUGGAGAUAAUGUAAGGUAUCAAAAAAGAGGUUUUUCUUCCUAAAAAGAAUCAUAAUAAGGACUUGAAAUUGGUAGAAAUGAUCAAGUAGUACUUCCCUAUGAUUUCGAUCUAGAGUAUGCUCCUAUUUACUGGUUAAAGAAAUGACUGUCUAUUAUUUCUUACCCGUCUUCUUCGAGUAGUUGUACUCCCUCCCAUGCCCCUUGGAGUGCUAUUUUGACGCGCCUUUGGGUGUUAUUUUGAUGGGCCUCUAGGUUCUAUUUUGAUACUCCUACGUUUGACUUUACUUUGUGAUCGCAUCGUAGGUUGUGUCUGAUACGUGCUUUGGACACUUUGUGAUUGCGUCGUAGGUUGUGUCUGAUACGUGCUUUGGACCUGUAACAAUGGGUCGCUUAUGUAGUUACUUGCCAGAGACUUUUGUUUUAAAAUUUUAAUUUCUUUCUUGGAAAAAAAAUGCUUUUGUCAAAAAUUCUAUUUUUCUUAGUUCAAUUUGUAAAAUAUGUUUGUUUACAAUUCAAAAUUCUGCAAAUAAGAUUUGUAGGAUUUUUGUGAAACCUAGUCACUAUUGUUGUAAUCCGAUUAAUGUGGUGAAUGGUUGCUUACCCAAAAUUGAGUCCGAUCAGCUCGUGGAGAUAGGAUUUAGUUAUCGCUAGAUGCAGAGACCCUUAUUUAACUUUAAUGCCUUGGUUAAUAAAUUUAGUUAGUGGUUUAAAAUUUAAUAAUUUUUAACAUAGUGGGUGUUUGUUUAGUUUACAAUUGUUUUAAUUUUUAGUGAGUUCGAAUAAUUGAGUAUUUGUGGAACCUUUAGUAAUGGAUUUUAUUUUUGCAGAUAAUCGAUUUACUAAAGAUUUAAGGGUUUCCAAUUUGCUAGGUGUUUAACUUGUUCUUGAGGUUAGAUGUUAUUGCUUGAUAUAUACAGGUUUUCUUGCCUUGCAUAUUUGCGAUUAACUAAUUGCAAGUAUGCGGCAUUUGUUAUGUCUCGGAAUUGGGGCAUGGUAAUACCUCUAAUUAGACCUAGUAGGUAUAGUUUGCCUCUCAUGACCUAUCGUAACAACUGAAAAACUUUAUUAGUUUCUCACUUUGUUGAAAUCUUUUCAGAUCAAGCCAUAGAUGAGGAUAGGCUGUGAGCAAUCGCGUUGCGAGAUUUUAGUGGUUAGAUAGAUUAGCUCUGAUUUUUUGUUAGUCAUAUUCUGAGAGUGACAUAUGUAUAAAGCUUAUAAUGUAGUUAUAAAGUUAAAAGGAUUUGAUAGAAUCUGUGGAACUAAGUAAACUUUAUAGUUAAAAUCUAGUUAGAUGCUCACUUUGUUGAUAUCUUAAAUGUAUAUUUUGCUAAGUAUACAAAUUGUGAUAGGUUGUAUCAUUUGAUGCUUUGCGCACACAUGGGAUACUUGUGUGUCCGGUUGGGCUUCUGCGCAGGGUGUGAUAGGUUCUAGCUCUACACAAAUCUCACCAAGUUCAUCAGUAAGUUCUUCUCCGAAAUCAAAUCCAUUAAGGUGAGAUCCCUUCCACAGAUUUACGAAAUUAUAGGAAUGUGCAAGUUUAGUUCAACAGUUGGAUCCGAGAAAUUAGAUGACGUGGCUAACAGCUAAGUCAUCAGAUUAGUGCAAAGCUGUUCAUGAGGAGAUAAGCAGUGUGCGAAAUCAAACUUGGAAGCUUAUAGAUCACUCCUAAAUAAAUAUACAAUUAAACUAUAUAUAGUGGAUUUACAAGACCAAGUUCAAGACCAAUGGAUCCAUUAAUGAAGUUGAAGGUGAGAAUUAUUGCAAAAGGCUACCCACAGCGGGAAGAUAAUAAUUUUUCUGGAGCUUUUGUUGCAGUAGCUCGAUUAGAUACAAGUUUAGAAUAGUUUUAGCCUUAGCAGCUCGAAACAAAUAAAUUUUUUUAAUUUGAUGUUAAAUCUAUAUUUUUAAAUGGUGUUUCUCAUGAUUAAGUGUAUGUUAAGCAAUCUUAGAGGUAUGAUAUUUAGAGCAAUGCUCCUAUACACCAACAAAUCUCAACCCUUAAUUUUUUUAAAAUGGAUGGUAAGGAUGCAUUUUAUUUCAGAGGGUGACUGGCUUUUGUUGUCUUGGGUACCGGUCACCCUCUUACCGAGGGUAAAGAGUUUUCUCAUAGUACCAAGGGGAUUUUUGUAAAUUCCCAUUCCCAUUCCCAUAAUGUCCCUUUUGUAAAACAUUUCAUCUUUCCCUUCCAUUUUUGUAAAUUUUUCAUUUACAGCAUCCCAUAUAUCUUCCUCCAAACCCAUGUCUUUUUUUUUUUUUUUUGUUGAGAGAGAAAUCCAUGUCCAUGUUGCAUUCAUUUUUGAAGUAAUAGCUAAUCUAUACUUUUUAAUUUUUAAGUGUUAGAUCAUUUUUUUUCUUUUAAUAUUGUGGUGCUACGACAUUGGGGCGUUGCCGAAUUUGAAUUUAAUUUUAAAAAUAGAAGCCUUUUAUUUAAUAAAUAAUAAAAGUUGGGCUUAUAAGUACAGCAUAACUUACAAUUUAAAAUAAAUUAAUAUAUUUGAACUUUCAUGUUAUUUUAAUAUUAAAUUAACAAUUUGAAUUGAAAUGUACUACUCAUUUAAACAUAAAUUUUUUCUUUUUGAAAAUCAGAUGUAAAAUUAAAUUUGAUUUUAAUGUAUACAAUUGUAAAGUUUAAGCUCAAAUUAAAAUUUAAAUUCAAUUUAAAAAGGUUUGUUACUUAUCAAAUUAGCCACUAUCUAAUUUGGUAAGUAACAAAAUUAAAUAAGGAAAUAAAUAUUUAUUUAGGGUUUAUCAAAUUUGGUAAUUAGCUAGUAUUUAUUUUCCAAUAUUACUCUCACUAUUGAUCUUGAGUUGUAACUUGUUGAGCAAGUUACUAUUGCGUAAAGUCAAUCUAACCCUUAAAAUAUGAACAACUAUAUUUAAUUGAGCCGGUGUAUUGAAGCAUUUCUUUGAAAUUUAAAUGUUGGAAGAUAAGAUUCACAGCCUUAAAAAAGCGACUACAUAUGGGAUCAAGCAGGCAUCUCAAGCAUGAUAUAGCAAGAAUGAUGCCCAUUUUCUUCAAAAUGGUUUUAAAUGAAGCGAAAAUGAGCCAACUUUCUACAUGAAGAAUCAAGGUACAGAAAUUUUGUUUGUCUUUAUGCAGAUAAUUUAAUAUAUGUUGGAUGUGCAGAAAGAGAAUGAUGAACUUAAAUUUUAUAUGGUGCAAGAAUUCGAAAUAUCGGAUCUUGAUAUGAUUAAUUAUUUUUUGGUUCUUGAAGUAGCACAGUGUGAAAAGGGUACUUUUAUUUUACCAAAGAAUUAUAUUAUUUGAUCUACUUGAGAGAUUUGACCUAAGUGAUUGUAACCUAGUGGCAAACCGUAUGGGAGCAAAUAUAAAAUUUUCAGUUGAUGAUGGUGUAGAGAAAGUGGAGUCCAAUUAUGUACAAGAGUUUCGUUAGGAGUUUAUUAUAUGUGACAAAGACAAGACUGGAUAUUGUGCAAACAAUCAAUUUGAUAUCUUGGUUAUGCAACAUUCGAGCAAAAUUCAUUUUGUUGUAGCAAAAUGGAUCCUGAGAAACUUGAUGGAACUAUUGGUCAUGUUUUAUGGUACGGCAACUCUAAUAAUUUUGUCUGUUUUGGUUUCUUCCAAUAGUGAUGGGGUAGGUGGAGUGGAUGAUAGAAAACGCACAAGCAUGUUCGUCUUCAAGGUUAUUUCAAUAGCAAUAUGCUGGUCCUCAAACAAGCAAUACAUGACAGCAUUUCAUCUUUUAAAGCAGAAUAUAUUGUUGUUAUUGUUGCAUCUUGCCUACCAGUGUGGACACGAACGGUGGAUUUUGACUGACUAGGAGUAAGGCUGGAAGGAGCUUACAUCCAUUUACUGUGACAGUCGAUCAACAGAUACCAGGACAAAAAAUCCGGGGCACCAUUGUCGCACCAAACAUAUUGAAAUUUACUGCCAUUUCAUUUGGAAAAGUGGCGAAUGGCGACAUCGAGUUGGCGCAUCAAGUCAAGAGCAACUAGUGGAUUUUUUUUCACCAAGCCUCUUAACUCUGAAAUAUAUUAUUUGAAGGAGUUAGAGUCACAGAGGUCCCGUGGGGUUGUGAUUAAGAUAAGACCAAAUCUAAUUUAGUUUUGAUAAUAUUAUUAGCUUUUCCUUGGAAAAGUUAGUAGAUGGUUUGGACAUAUUUGUUUUUUGGCUAAUCUCUUUGUUAGCUAAUGACCUUAUUUAUUACCUAUACACCAUCAAAACUAGGGGCAAGUCGUUAAGUAGCUUUCUAGUAGUCAUAAUUAAGCAUCAGGCAUAAAAAGAAAUGUCAUGUCCUGAAACUAUCUUAUAAGUCUAUUAAAAUAAUAAUAAUAAAAAAAUCUAUGAGUUGCUCUUUACAGUAAUAUUACAUUCUGUUGCAGAAACUAGGUCGGCCGCAAUCUUAAAAUCUCUUUUAAAGAGUUUUCCAAUGAUGUUAAUCUUUAACCAUACGAAUAUUACUACUAUAUAUUGAAAUGUACAUAACUAAUGAAACACGAAAACAGAUGUACGAAAAAAACACAAAUAUUUAGAAAGAAAAUAAUGAGACUCAGUACCAGAUAAAGAAACUGAUUAAUUAGUUAGGGUAACUACUCUCUUACAGAAUUUGUACGGUUUCACCGUCUAUGAAUAUAUAAGGAACGUGAGCAAUAAGUUGCCAGUCUAGUCCUUGAUCCUUUACGCAGCGCUCCUUCAGCAAAGGGCACCCCCCAGAUAUACAAUUCUUUAAGCAAAGCUGGUAGGCCAUUCUCUGGCAAUGAUCUAAUCUCAGGGCAGAGGCCUAUUGACAACUUCUUGAUGGAGGAAAAGGUUACUAGAGAAGCAGGAAGGCUCUGCAAAUUUCCACACUCGGAGAGUUGUAGUUCUUCGAGUGAGACUAGUUUCUGGAACCAUUCUUCCUGCUCUACUGUGAAGUAAGCAAGAUGAAUGCAGUUGUGAAGGACAAUACGAAUAUAACUAUAUAUUGAAAUAUACAUAACUAAUGAAUCAUGAAAACAGAUGUUCAAAAACCAUACAAAGAUUAGAAAUAAAAAAAUGAGACUCAGUACCAGAUAAUGAAACUGAUUAAUUAGUUAGCAUAACUAUUCUCUCAUAGAAUUUGUACUGCUUUAUCAUCAAUGCAUAUAUAAGGAAUGUGAGCAAUAAGCUGCCAGUCUAAUCCUUGAUCCUUUAUGCAGCGCUCCUUCAGCAAAGGGCAGCCCCAGAUGCGCAAUUCUUUAAGCGAAGCUGGUAGGCCAUUCUCUGGCAAUGAUUUAAUCUCAGGGCAGAGGCCUAUGGACAACUUCUUGAUGGAGGAAAAGGUUACUAGAGAAGCAGGAAGGCUCUGCAAAUUUCGACACGCCAUGAAUGAUAGUUCUUCAAGUGAGAUUAGCUUCUGGAACCAUUCUUCCUGCUCUACCUUGAAGCAAGCAAGACGAACGCAGUUGUGAAAUGUCAUACGACGGAGGGAGCGGACGGUUCCUAGUGUGAUCCAUACAUUGUUGAAAGGGAUAUCAUCCGUGCUAAAAAAAGAGAGUGAUUUCAGAUCCGGAUCCUCAUAUGGCUGCUCAGUCUGCAUGAAAUCAUUCAACUUGGGACAUUCUUCAAUUUGCAAAUCUUUCAGGCUAGUGAGGGACCGAAACCCGGUAAGUAAGCUAAACUCCGAGCAUCUAAGGACCAACGACUCUAGAUGCCUUAGGUUAGACGGACAAACUGAUGUUCUAUGUGGGUACUCCCUCAAUUCCAGGCGGACUAGGGAGGUCAGGCUCUGUAGACAUCUAAGCAGGGCAUCACCGAAGUCACCACAGUCAAUAAUUCUGAGGUCAAUCACUUCUGAACUUAAGUAAUGAAGUGGGACUUUUCUCAGCUUCAAGCAAUUAUAAAUGUGGAGCAGACGGAGUCGAGGGAAAAAUUGCCGACCAUCAGUGUGAGACCACUCUUCGCAUUCCUUCAAGUCGGUAAACGUGAGCUCCUUGAGUGAUGGAAAGACUUGAUCAGCAUCCCCAUAGAAUUCAACUCCGAUUCGUUUUACCGCAGGCAAUGUGUUAAUGGUCAGGACCUUGAGAAAAGGAAGCUGCCCGAGGGGUGGUAGACUCGCACACCUACCGCAGUUGCUUAGAUAAACAUAUUCUAGAUUGGUGAGGUGCUGCUUCUUUGCCAGCCAAUUUGGAAGUGUCGCACCUCCAUAAUGCCGAAUUGUAAGCUCUUUAAGACUGUAAUGUGGUUCUAGGCCUUCAAACAUAUCCUCCUCCAGGUCACUCUGGCCUUUUACAUCAGGCUUCCUAUUCAAAAAUAGUGCAUUAAGGUAUUCUUUGUUCUUUAAGUCGGCUUCCAUGGCCUCCUCCCUAGUUUCCACACUCUCAAGAUGUUGUAUAACAAGUCGCCUCCGGAGAUUUCUCAGUCCCUUCAACUCUCCGAUCCGGUGCCCUCUCUUCCUUGUGAUACGGAAUUCUUCCAACUCCUGAAGGUCGGUAAGCCUCCCGAUCCCAUCAAUUAGAGCAAUCGUUUCAGCUCCUGCGUAUAAAUGUCGCAUGUUUAUCAGUCUGUUCAUUCCUUCAGGCAUGUUCCUAAAGUGGCAGUGCUGCAAGUUAAGAACCUGCAGAUGGCAAAGCCUGGAAAACUGUUUUGGAAUUUGUCUGAUUCCAGUGCACGAAAUAUCUAGGUACCGAAGAUGUGAUAGGUCACAGAUAGUAUCUGGUAACUUUUUUACUUGUAUGCCGCUGCGCGAUAAAUCUAGCACCCGCAGGCUUUUGAGAUUCUUUAAGAUGCCUUCGAGAAUCCCAUGAAGUUCUGAAGAAUCAUAAUCCCGAAAAAAUAUGAUAGUUCGUAAAUUUUGAAACUUGGGGACGUCUUUUAGCGCAUCUAGAUUAUCUGUGUUGAGAGUUAAGUGACGAACGGUUGCUGGAAACAUUGCCGGCCACUCACUGACGACAUAGCAUUCAUCCAAUGAAACAUACACGGCCAAGUCUCUGAUCAGAUCAUGCAUCACAAACUUGUUAUUCAUCGUAGGGAAAAAGAAGUGCCUGUUGGUUAACUCAUCAAACAUGCGAUUGCCUGAGUCCUCCGGUCUGGUUCUCUGGUCGGAGUCGAAUUGGAUAAAUCCCUGAGCAAUCCACAUGUGGACCAGUUGUUCCUUCUGGAAUUCGUAACCCCUCGGGAAUAUAGAAGUGUAAGCAAAGCAUUGUUUCAGGUUCGUGUUCAUGUGCUGAUAGCUCAAUCCAAGAGACGGAAGGAUGCUAUCUAGCGCAAGUUCUUGCUUCCACCACUCGCUUUCAGAGAUUGAUCUCCAGUACCCCUCUUCUUGUUCAGAUUGGAGCAGAGUUCCGAGCACCUUUCCUGCAAGCGGUAAGCCGUGUAGCUUUUUUGAUAUUUCUUGACCAAUUAAUUGCAGCCUUCUCCGCUUGCUCCCAUCAAGCUGAUCCUGAUCAUCGCCAAACGCGCAAUGUUCAAAGAGCUCCCAAUAGUCGUCGUCCCCCAAGCACUUCAACUCAAUGGGUUCCACGGUCCCCAUAAGAUCUGCCACAACCGGGCUUUGAGUAGUUACUAAAACAGUACUUCCUUUCGAUCCAAGUGUCAACGCGCUAUGGAGCUCCUUCCACUUGAUUCCUCUCUCGUCCCACACGUCAUCGAGUACGAACAAGAACCUUUCAUUCCUAGUGGCAUCCGUGAGCUUCACUAGAGCCUCAUCUAAACUGAUAUCGACGAAGCGAGGAUCGGCAAUCGCCCCAUGCACCAGCUCUUUGGAGAUCCUUUUCACGUCGAAAUUGUUGGAGACGUAGACCCACCUCCGGAGUUGAAAGUGCUGGGCUACCCUUGGAUCGUUGUAGAUAAGCUGUGCAAGAGUUGUCUUGCCGACUCCUCCUAUACCUAUGAUCGGAAGAACGGCAAGACCAGGACCGCUGCUGCUCCCCGCUGCACAGCUGCAUGUAGUGGUGCCACCACCAUCAGCCGGCUCUCCUGAGCUGAGCAGCAGAUCUAGCAUCAUCUGUAUCUCUUUGUCCCUCCCAAACACCUUGUCUGCCAGCAGGAACGAGCUGGUCUCCCUGCAGGCCGCGGUGGCUUCCUUCCGCGGCUUCCUUCUUAUCUUUGCAGUACUGAUCCAGCUUCAAUUCCUGGCGGCCUAUGUCAGCAUAAAUUUUAUCAAGAUUCUCUACAAGAUUCUUCAAGCUUUUAAUGAGGUCCUCGUCAGAGAAGGUAAAAUGCAUGAGAAGUUUGUGAGCCGAGGAUGAUAGCUCGCCCACCUUGCUCCGCUGAUGCAAUCCGUCGUGCAGCUCUCUGAACUCGAACUCGUCCACGACAUCGUCUGCCGCGCAUGCGGCGUCUUUGAGCUCGGCCAUCCAUUUGGCCAGCGCCUGAUCCCUGACAGGCAUCCCCUCGGCCGCGUCGAUCACCGCUCGGAUGGGCGGAAGCCGGUCCUCCACGUCCUGCAGCAUGUCCUCCACGCCUUUGAGCAGAUCACAUCGGUCGGAGAAGUAGGAGAAGACCUUGCUGACCAGCUUAUCCAGAACAUAAAACGCGAACCACUCGCCAACCUUCAUCCCUACAGAUUCUGCCAUUUCCGUGAUGAGGAGAGGAUGAUGAUAAGCUUUUCCCUUUUCGGACCAAGUGGUUUCCAUGCAGAGGUGAAGAAGACAUUAGGAAUCUCUUCCUUGUUGACUUCGAAUUUAAAACUCUACAUUUGGUGACAGGCCUUGGCUACCCAACUGUCAGUGUCAGUAAAUAUAAUUGUUUUGAGAUAUAUAUUUAAAGGUUGUAUUGCACUUGGACUCUCUAAUUUUGGCUAAAUUUUAUUUUGGUCAUCUAACUUUUUCAACAUUAAAGAUUUUAUAAUUUUGAAAAAGUGUUUCAGUUUAGAUCCUGUGUACAUUAAUUUCUAUUGGAGGGCAAAUCAUCCUCUACACCCACUGCAUAAAAUUUUUUUUUACGCCCCAUUUGUUUAUCGAUCCCUUAUAACACCUCGUAUUUCAAGACGAUCUCUCAAUAUUGAGUUAUAGUAUUUUCUUUAUUUAGAAAUUAGAUCAUUGAUUUGGAAGUAUGUGAAUAAAUUGCAUGUUUUGUUCUCAAAUUUUUUAGGCGUGUAAUACUUUAGUCCUCAAAUUUAAUUUAUUAUAAUUUCUUAUUCGAACCUUUUGAAUUGUUGCAAUCAGAUCUUACGAUGUAUCACAGAUAUAAAAAUAAUUUGACAUCUUAAUUAUUGUCGUAAUAUUAAUUACAAAUUCGCCACAUUUCUUCCGCAUAAAUUUGUAAGACUUUCUUUUUUUUUUUUGAUUAAACAGGGAUAUACCCUUUUUGAAACCAGGUACAGGGACCAGAAGAGAGAAAGAAAACAGAGCCAAGACCAGCUCAAAAUACAAAGUCUGUUACAAACCAACUAAAAGAGAUAGCACUCAAACCAGAGACAAAAGAUUAGAAGUUGACGACAAACGUAAGAGUAAGGAAGUGUUGACGAUCUUAGCUUCCUAUCGCUGAGACCCAUUGGCUGACCGUGUCAUUGAUUACUCUUGCCAGAUUUUCGCUCCAUUGUAUCUUGUUGUCGAAUAAUCUCCUAUUUCGCUCUUUCCAUAACUCCCAACAUCCCACUGCGAUACAGAGAUCGAAACUCUUUUUUGGUUUCCCUGAUAAGAAUUCUCUCGAGCAGCACCAGCGAGCCACUAACCCACCCGGUGAGGUGGACAUCUGAUGUUGCGCUGUAGGAGCAGAACGCAACAACGAAAUCCACAUUGAUUUGGCAUGGAAGCAGUCUAACAGAAGAUGCUCCAUUGUUUCAGAGUUUGAAUUGCAUAGCACGCAAACAGAGGGAUCGUGCCAACCGCGCUUGGCUAGAGCGUCGGCUAUCAACAUCUUAUAUCUCGUUGCAAGCCAUAAGAAAAUUUUGACUUUAAGAGAUAUCUUUAGUUUCCACAGAAAGGGAAUUUGGCAGUUGUUGAUUCCGUCGUAGAUCGGGAAAUCAUAAGUAAAUCGUGCAGAUACGUUCCAUCACCAGGAAAUCAAGUCCAAAGAAGGCUCCCAAAGAACGAAAUUGCUAAUCAAAUCUGCAAGCUGAUUAAGCUCUAGACAUACUUCGGAUUGUUCCGAUGUGCGGAAACCCAGAUUUUGUUGCAACCCAAAGCGUUGGAUCCACUUGUUGACCGAGAGCUGUUUGUGGGUUGAAGCUGCAUAGAGGUUGGGAAAGCGGUUCCUUGGGGUAAGAUCCCCGCACCAUCUCGCGUUCCAGAAAGAUGUUAACUUUCCAUUACCAAGAGAAAAAUUGACCGAUGUAAGGAACGGAGCAGCAAGCUUGAGCAUUCCCCUCCAGAUUGGGCUGGUACCAGGUGGACUAGAAGCAGUUAGGUCCAGUACUCAUCGUUUGUAGUGUUUUUGCAUCAAAAGCUGGACCCACGGCAAGUUUUGAGAGUUGUAGAAGUUCCAAAGACCCUUCAUGAGUAAAGCCGCAUUAGCGACCUGCAGGUUUCGUAUCCCGAUACCCCCCUCCCUCUUUGGUUGACAAAUAUGUCUCCAUUUCGCGAGACAAUGAAAGACGUUGUCAAGCUUCUUGCCUCUCCAGAAGAAGCCACGAUGAAUUUUGUCCAUCGCUUUUAUCACCCAGGUUGGGAGAAGGAAGCUCGAGCAAAAAAAAACAAGGAUGGAGGUGAUAACCGAGUUGAGGAGGACUAGGCGACCACCUCUAGAGAGUGUAGCUCCUUUCCAACCAGCCAAGCGAGUAUCGAUCUUUUCAAGGAGUGGUAGAUAAUCAGAUUUGAGAAGCUGCUUAGGGGAAAGAGGUAGUCCCAGGUACUUCAACGAGAAACUAUGCGUGGGGCAACCGAAGAGGUGGCUAAACAUUAAGCCUGUUCUACUGACAAGUGAAUUGGGAUUAAGGCGCUUUUAUUGUAAUUGAUCUUGAGCCCCGAGCUUUCAGAGAAUGCAUGUAGGAUGAUCUUUAUAGUAGCCGCUGAUAUGAUGGAACCAUCAAAGAACAGAAGAACGUCAUCGGCGAAUUGUAGGGUGAGAAGUUUAACAUCUCCUACGGCUAGAGUAGGUAUGUUUCAAUCCUUCUCACGUGAUUGACUUCACUCCACUAGAGAUUGGCGAGGAUUUGAGAUACGAGGAGCAACCGGUGCGGAUUCUUGCCCGCGAGACGAAGGAAUUGCGCAACCGGGCCAUCCCGUAUGUGAAAGUGCAGUGGAGCAAUCACGAGGAGCGGGAGGCGACUUGGGAUCCUGAGAAGUGAUGAGGGAGUCCUAUCUCGACCUGUUCGUUGCCCCGUCUUGAGGUAUGUUUCAAGUUUCGAUGACGAAACUUUUUGUAGUAGGGAAGGAUGUAGUAUUCUUGGGUUUACUUUUGUUUUUUUAACUAUUAUUAUUUAUUUCUCUCUUUGAGUUUGUAUGGGGGGCAUGGUGGUCAUUUGGUUGUGAUAAAGAUGCCACGUAUCCUUUCAGGUUUAUCCUCUCAAUUAACUGAGAGUGUGCAUGUUUUUAUUUCUCUCCUAUACUUGACCGUACGCAAGGAGAAGGAGAACCCGGUUGGAGCUCGUGUGUCGCCGACGUCGCGCCGCGGUACCGUUUGAGCGUGUGUUCGUCGUCGUAGCAUCGCGAGGAAGCCAGGCGCAGGUGCGUUUUUGCCGUUCUCGACGUCGCACCGGAUUGGAUUUAGCUUUUGAGGUAGGUUUAUCAUCGGAUUUCUACUCCUAUAGCCUUGUUAGUCAACAUGUAUAGUUAGGAUAUCUGCGUUGGUACUGUUUAGCUCAAAUUCAUGUUUAUGCAUUGUUCUAGGCCUAUAUAUUGAAUUGGGAGCAUGUUACUGUUUGUUAUUAAUUAUACAUGUUGGACUUGGAUAAAACAUAGGAGAAAACCAGCGUUCGGGACUUGGCAUAUGUUAAACUACCUGAUUUAGCCCUAGGGGCCGUUGUAUUUUUAUACUGUUACAGUAUCCUCAUAGUGAGUAUCCCAGGUAGUUCAGAUUUCAGUUAUACUCAUGCUAGGAUGCCGAGCCGAUUUUUUACAGUAGUGUUUACAGUAUUCCGGAUUAGUGGGUCCCGUAGUGGUUGAUGGUGGACCCGGAUUUGGUCAUUUUGAGAUCCGGUUGUGCCGAGGGCACAUGACUAGUGGUUAGUAGCCAAUUGGACUUAUUUCCUUGACUUUAGCCUGUGAGAGCCUGAUUGAGCUCGACAGAGAUACGCUUGCAUACUCGGUUGGGUCGCGCCCACGAGUUGCCACUCCGGAGUUUGGCUUUGUGCUUUCGCGUUGAUGUCACUGACUAGUUUUGCUAUCCACGAACUGUUUUGCGUGGAGGUAGCGUGGCUUAGACAGGCGAGACGGGUGCGUUCACAGUCUCCGGGAUAGGUGUGUUCACAGUCCCUAUUGAGAUUGGGUCAGAUUUGACAGUUACUACAGUUGGAUAGUGUAGUGGCAGGUAGCUAUAGAUUUCUUUCCAGAUUUAACUACUAGUUUGUUUCUGACUGUAGUCUUAGUUGGUGGACCGAUAAGGUUGAGGGCGGUACCCACGAGGACUACUUGUUUUUACAGUAGUUCUUAUGCCCAGUUGUUACCACUGUUUUGCAGAGCCACCGGUUUCAGUUGCUGCGCCUUCCCGAUUCUUCUGAUGAUUCCUCCUCCGCUGCCUGUAGCUUCCUCAGCUCUCACUACCUUUUUCUCACCGUCACGGAGGUUUCCUUCGUCGCCCCGCUCUGUUUCCGCUCCUGCGCUGCGCUCCGCUCCGACAGUGCGGGGCCUUAUGUGUGCAAGGGUCCCGUGCGGCUGUUUAGGCGGCAUAUGUUUCUUAAAAAAGACAUAUGCUUCACAUAGCCAUUGACUUUUAUAUGUUAUGAUGUUGGUCAUCAUAUCUCGACAUUUCUUUGGUUUGUCCAUCCUAUUUUGUUCAGAGUGUAUGUAUGUUGUUUUACGAUAUGUUUCCAUGAGCGAGGUCGCUCAAUAUUGUUGACAUACAUGUACUUGAGUUGUUUUAUUUGGCUUUGAUGGACGUCACCACCUAGGAGAUAGAGUCGUUGAGCAGCCCAUCCCGAGAUUGAGCGCCGCGGGAACGGAGCUAGUCGGAANAGGAGAGGUAAAGAGGGGGGGGAUAGAGAGACACACACACACUCUCUCUCUCUCUUUGUCUCUCGCGUGCGCUCGGGGGGUGCGGGUCGCCCGCACAUGGCAGGCCGGCCCCACCCCCUUCCCCCCUCUCUCACUCUUUCUCCUCUUCCCUCCCUCUCCCCACCCCCAUGGGACCCCCCAUGUUUCUCUCUCUCUCUCUCUCUCUCUCUCUCUCUCUCGCUCGCGCGUGCGUGCGGGGGGCGCGGGUCGGGGACGCCCCGUCUCUCUCUCUCUCUUUCUCUCUGGGCAGGGGUCGCGCGCACCCGCCGAGCGCGGGUCGCACGCGCGUAAGGGUGAGAAAGAGGGGGGGAGAGAGAGAGGGGGGGAGAGACAUGGGGAGAGGGAGAGAGAGGUAGGGAGGCGGGGGGAGGGAGGCCCUGAGGGUGGGGAGAGAGAGUGAGAGACAGAGCUGGAGAGAGAGAGAGGGGGAGAGACAGAUAGGGAGGUGGAGAGAGAUAGAGAGAGUGAGAGAGAGAGAGAGAGAGCCAAAAAAAAAAGAAAGAAAGGGGCCCCAUCGAAGCCCCCCCGCCAAACGCGGGGAGGCUUUGAAGGGGCCACAGUAAAACUGGGCUUUUAAUAUAUGUAUACACUAUAGAUGAUACAAAUCGCCAACCAUUUCCUUCUUGUACAAAACUUUUGAAGUGUUGUAUCAAAACUCAGAUUAUCAAAUCUUUAAUUCAUUGCAUAACCAAUUAUCAUCAGUUGAUGCAUUCACCCAUAAAUUUUUCCAAAUUAGUAUUUACCGGUGAAAAAAGCUUUUUUUUUUUUUUCUUUUCUUUUCAUGAAUGGGAACUUCAAAAAGCAAUUCACUUUUGUAUUUCAUUUUCAAAUACCACAAAAUCUCUAUUAAUUAAAAUUGGCCCAACUAGCUAAGCACAAAUCCUUAAAUAUGAAUUUAAUUAUGUAGAGUUUUAAAUCGAAUCAAACUCUCAUUUAGAGAAAUUUCAAUUAAAAUCCCAACAUGUGUUAUAUGUACACUUGACUAGUUCUUAUUUAGAAAUAUAAUAUCUGCUAAUCUUUUCAACUGCAAAAUAAUUAUUCUUCAACUUCUACUUCAUCUUAAAGUGAUGCUUUGACUGCUGAAUAAACAAUUAAAUUAUUUGCAAUAAAUUAAUUAAAUCAUCUCUGAAAAAUGAUGUGAUAACUAAAAGGCCAAUUUGCAUAAAAAAUUCACUUAUUUUGGGCUUUUGUAAAAUCGGGCCACAUUUUUUCUUUUUGCAGAUUCGGUCCGCUUUUUCAGCAAACUGACCAAAAUACCUUUAUACCUUUUUCUCUCUCCUAUUAUUUUUCUCUCAUUCUUUUUUUCUUUCUCUUCCUAAAUAGCGGCGGAGGCGGAGGAGGCGGCUUGUCCGGCGCAUCCUUACUCUCGCCUGCACACCCCCGCACCUUCCUUGCCUCCAACCCUGCCGAGGCAGCGCCGCUACUCUUUUUUUUUUCUCUUCGACCCUCCUCCACGGCCUCUCCGGCCCAUCCGAUGGUAACGAGGACGGCCGCCCUUCUCGUUCUCUCCCUCUCCCUCCUCCUCUGCCGUCUCCGACGACGANUUUUAAACAGAAUAAGAGCAUAUGCUUGGUUGAUAUAAAGUAAAUAAUAAAAAGUGAAAUUGGUCAAUUUGUAUAAAAAAUUUACUAACUUUAGACUUUUGCAAAACUGGACCGUCUUUUUUAAUUUUGUAGAUUUGGUCCGAAUUUUCAGCAAACUGACCAAAAUACCCUUAUUACUUUUUCUGUCUCCUCUUUGUUUCUUUCGUUCUUUUUUUUUUUCUCUCGCCGAAAAAGUAGCGGAGUCAGAGGUAGAGGCGGAGGCGGAAAUGGCCCGCCUCGCUUCUCACUCUCAUGCUCUCGCCCUCGCCCUUGCCUUCGCCCACGUACCCCCCACCUUCCUCACCUCCGAGCCCACCGAGAUCGCGCCGUGACUUUUUUUUUUUCCUCUCCAACUCUCCUCCACUGUUUCCGACGACGACGCCUUUCUCGCCCUUCCCCGCCCUUCUCGUCUUCUCCUUCUCUCUCCUCCUCUGCCGCAUCCGACGAGUACGCAUCUUUGUCGACGCCGACACCGUGAAGGUUGCUGCGGAACUGCAGUCUCAGAGCGGGGUGUCCUUAGCGGCGACGUCGCCGGCGUCGUGGCUAUUGGCAAAGACGGAUGACCAAAAAAAAUAAUAAAAGAAACAAGAAAAAAAAAUAAAAAUAAAAAAUUAUAGAAAAAGAAUGAUGAAAAUAAAAUUGUAUCGUUAACUGCAAAAAAAAUUAUAAGUUGUACUACUUAAGAUGUAAACUGCAGUUUUAAGAUGAAAAUUACACUUUUUAAACGAAAAUUAU